GCCCUUCGGGGUGGAUUAGUGGCGAACGGGUGAGUAACACGUGGGCAAUCUGCCCUUCACUCUGGGACAAGCCCUGGAAACGGGGUCUAAUACCGGAUAACACUCUGUCCCGCAUGGGACGGGGUUAAAAGCUCCGGCGGUGAAGGAUGAGCCCGCGGCCUAUCAGCUUGUUGGUGGGGUAAUGGCCUACCAAGGCGACGACGGGUAGCCGGCCUGAGAGGGCGACCGGCCACACUGGGACUGAGACACGGCCCAGACUCCUACGGGAGGCAGCAGUGGGGAAUAUUGCACAAUGGGCGAAAGCCUGAUGCAGCGACGCCGCGUGAGGGAUGACGGCCUUCGGGUUGUAAACCUCUUUCAGCAGGGAAGAAGCGAAAGUGACGGUACCUGCAGAAGAAGCGCCGGCUAACUACGUGCCAGCAGCCGCGGUAAUACGUAGGGCGCAAGCGUUGUCCGGAAUUAUUGGGCGUAAAGAGCUCGUAGGCGGCUUGUCACGUCGGAUGUGAAAGCCCGGGGCUUAACCCCGGGUCUGCAUUCGAUACGGGCUAGCUAGAGUGUGGUAGGGGAGAUCGGAAUUCCUGGUGUAGCGGUGA
rnacentral:rRNA from 1 species